rnacentral:rRNA from 1 species
AAGCAUAUCAAUAAGCGGAGGAAAAGAAACCAACAGGGAUUACCUCAGUAACGGCGAGUGAAGCGGUAACAGCUCAAAUUUGAAAGCUAGCUCUUUUAGGGUUCGCAUUGUAAUUUGUAGAAGAUGCUUCGGGUGUGGCCCCGGUCUAAGUUCCUUGGAACAGGACGUCAUAGAGGGUGAGAAUCCCGUAUGUGACUGGGUGCUUUCGCUCAUGUGAAGCUCUUUCGACGAGUCGAGUUGUUUGGGAAUGCAGCUCAAAAUGGGUGGUAAAUUUCAUCUAAAGCUAAAUAUUGGCCAGAGACCGAUAGCGCACAAGUAGAGUGAUCGAAAGAUGAAAAGCACUUUGGAAAGAGAGUUAAACAGUACGUGAAAUUGUUGAAAGGGAAGCGCUUGCAACCAGACUUGCGCGCUGAUGAUCAUCCGGGCUUCUGCCCGGUGCACUCGUCUGCGCUCAGGCCAGCAUCGGUUUCGGUGGUGGGAUAAAGGCCUUGGGAAUGUAGCUCCUCUCGGGGAGUGUUAUAGCCCUCGGUGCAAUGCCGCCUACCGGGACCGAGGACCGCGCUUCGGCUAGGAUGCUGGCGUAAUGGUUGUAAGCGACCCGUCUUGAAACACGGACCAAGGAGUCUAACAUCUAUGCGAGUGUUUGGGUGUCAAACCCAUACGCGUAAUGAAAGUGAACGGAGGUGAGAACCCUUAAGGGUGCAUCAUCGACCGAUCCUGAUGUCUUCGGAUGGAUUUGAGUAAGAGCAUAGCUGUUGGGACCCGAAAGAUGGUGAACUAUGCGUGAAUAGGGUGAAGCCAGAGGAAACUCUGGUGGAGGCUCGCAGCGGUUCUGACGUGCAAAUCGAUCGUCAAAUUUGCGUAUAGGGGGCGAAAGACUAAUCGAAACCAUCUAGUAGCUGGGUUCCUGCCGAA